AUGUAUUUCUACUUUUAAUAUUACAAUGAAUUGUAGGGAGAUAUAGUCUGUAUUGGGAAAGUGUGUUCCACAAAGAAUUUUUUUAUUUAAACAGAGAUAUAGGGAUUUAUUGCUUUCAAACAUUGUGCCUAAUCGAGAAGCUACACAGAGUGUUUCGUGUUGCAAUGAUACAUUUUGUUCUGUUUCUACUUUACUCUGAACUGUGUUUCUCUUAUUUAUUGAUUAGUAUUGAUAUGUUAUUGUCACGAAUUUUUGAUUUCCCGAUAAAGAGACACGAAAACAUUUCUACGUAAAAUUUAAUUAUUUUAUAACGCAGCGAUGCAGAGCCAUUCACGCAGAGAAAAGAUUCAGCCGACAGAAUUGCUGCAUUUUUAUCUUCUCCAUUUCUAGCUGUAUAUUGCAGAAACAAUGAGAUGAGGAAUAAAACAGUAGUAGUUUCUUGGCAUUCUCGAUGAAUUAGUAUACUUUUUUUUGUUAUAAAUUCGAAUAAUUUUUACAUACAUCUAAGCAUAUACUUUGUCGAAACGAUGUUAUUUCCGUUAGUUCGUUUCUUUCUGUUGAAUAGAAUAAUUAUAUAUGUUCUUAAAGUGAAACUUAUCAAUCAAGAAUUGAGAUAUUAAAACUGAAUUUUGUAUAAUAACAAAAAGUUGGAUCUUCAAUAAUGAUAUGAAUGGACUGAAGCAUAAUUUUACAAAGUAUUUAUAAAACAAGAGAAGAGUUGUGGAAUCAUCUUCAACAUCGGACAACCAAAAUGUACCGUGCUAAAACUAUUCGUAUCCGUGAAAAUUGUGAACAUAUUCUUCUUUAUAGUCGGAGAUAGACGAUAGUUGUUUAGAAAACAAGCAAAAGCACCGCCUAUACUUUUCGUCUAAACUAAUUUAUAUAUACAUUUAUUUUAUAACACUUCUUGCUAAGUAGUAUUCGGAGAUGUGAUAUUAUUAUUACGGUCAGCUAUUUCAUAACGUAUAUGUAUUACUUAUUUUAAAUUCGUAAAUGAAUAUAAUUUCAGUUUAAUUUGCGAUUAAACAUCCUUGUUGUAGAAUCGAGGUACCAUGAUUUUUAAAUAAUAUAGAGUAACAUUAGCCACGAAAUUAUAUUUACGUUGAACGAAGUUUAUUUCAUUUCUAUGAUAUACCUGUGCAGGUGCGAAUUAUUCACGAUUCAUCCGUUUUACAGUACAUUCGAUGGAUCUACAUUGAUCUCCCAAACGAUUGAAAUGUACUAAUAUUGUUUAAAGAUCUUGGUAAAUAUUGACUUAAUGUAAAAAACUAAGAAAUUAAGGAAGAUAAGCAUUAUAAGGUAGUCAUAACAUGUUGUUGGUUGCAUAAGUUGUUACAUAUGUUACUUUAAAUACUGAAUCAAAUGUCUAGAAAACAAAAUGCGAAGAGCAAAUUGUCUGCUGCAUGUGCUCUAUAGACUGCGCAUCAAUUACUGCUUUAAAAUAUUUGCUUAGGACAUAGUAUAUAAUUUAAUAAACAAAAAAAAGGGCAAUUAUAAUUAUCGUAACAUGUACGAUCGCGGAAUCUUCAUUACAUUUCAUGUCCAGGCAAUGAUCCUUUAAAGUUGUUUCUCAAGUACGUGUUCUUUAUGGGAUGCUAAUAUAAGACAAUAAUAUCAACAAUUAAAGAGUUAUAAAAAAAAACCAUAAUUCAUAAUAUUUUUGUCCCGAUGAUAUUUCACGAAAACACUUUUGUUUGUUCGACAUUCGUAUGUAUAUUUGAAUAAUAUGUAUGUUUGCGUUUCUUCUGUUACGAUACUAUGUCCUAUGUACUGUUUGUAAUGUAUCCUAUUUUAUGUACUGAAUGAUGCAUCCUAUUUAAAAAUACAAGCCCUACUGGAUUAAGGGAUGUUUUACAAGCAUGUUACACGUGUAGGGCGAUGCUGACGGGCAUAAUAAAACAAUGCUAAUGUUAUCGAAUACAAUGUUCCUUGCAAAGUGCACGCAGGAUAGGGAGAUAGUGUAUACAAACACGAGAAACAUUAAAUCUAUUAAUAGUUAUGUUACAAUUUCAAGCGGUGGUGACUUUAAUGGAUUACGUGUUAAUCGAACGAUUGAAAUUGAUUUUUUCCGUUUGCAAUUUUUCUGCAGUUGUCACGCUCAAAUAUAUGUUCAGUUAACGUAUAACACAUACACACACACAUGGUCACAAACGAUAAUAGCGGGAAGUUUUUCAUUUUUGUGUUCGACGAACAUGCCGAUACGAGGAAGAGGAAGGAACGGUUUACUUUUUUGUAAAUCGCACUAGAUAAUGUUUUCUGGUUUUAUACUACACUCUGUGUAAUAUCAAUUUUGUAAAUCUAACUAUUGCUUUAAGUAUAUAUCGUGUACAGUAAAAAUCUACAUCUUAAGUGUAUUAUUUUUUAUGUGUAAAUAACUGGCACGAAAGGACAGAUUUAUGUUGUAAAAAGAAAGAAACAUAGUAAAGUAUUAGUACAUUGUACACCAUUCAAAAAAAAAACAAAUUCUGUAAACUGCUUUUUUUCUGUAGAACUUCCUUUAUAGUAGUAUUGCGAUGGUACUACACUUUUCUCCACUUCGUUCCCAACAAAAAGUGUACUCAUAUCUUUACAUUCUCAUUUGUACCGGAAAUUGCUAUAAUUGUUAUACUGUCUCGCUUCCUUGAAUCCGGCGAAAAUUUAUACAUAUUCUUGGAAGAAAAAAAGUAAUCAUUGAUCACGUGUUAAAAGAGAAACUGUUACAUAUAGUCGUUACUUAUAGUUCAAUCUGAAUAAGAAGGGACCACAAUACAAUAUGUUAGAAGGAAUUUAUCAUUUGCACAUUCUAAUGUGUUUUAGAGGAUUACUUGCCUUUGAAUCGGUAUACUUUUUUAAAUUGUUCUGAAGCAUUAAGACAGGAAAUUAACACAGGUACAUUCUAGUGAUAUCAUAAACCAGAAAUUUUAAUUUCUUAAAUUACGAUUGUACAUUCAGUGUGGUAAUCUUCUAAUGCAUAUCUUUAAAUUGUCAUGUUUUAUUUAGAUAGAGCUUCCAGCUUAGCACUUUUACGUCAGGAUUUAAUUAAAUAUGUGGAAGAACAAUUAAAUGUUGCUUCAGUAUUUAAAUGCACAUGUCGUCUGAAGUUGUGCUUUUAAUAUAACUAAAUACACAGGUUUGGAACAAAAUUGUUAUAGCAUUCUGCAAUCUAUCAGAAUUACGAUAUCGUAUUCAUAUUCUCAUUAAUAAUUCCAUAAUCCAUAAUGAACGUACACUAUUUCUCAAACCAAGGUUCAGAAAUAUCCAAUUCGCAUUGAUAUGUGCAUUGAUAUAAAGGAAAAGUUAUAUUUUAUCCUUUCGUUUCAAUUGUAUUUACGUUCUUGUUACCCAUCAGUAUUGAUUAGGUUUAUGUAUAUGUGUAAUAAUUAUAUAUAUAUAUAUAUGUAUAUAUAUAUAUAUACAUAUAUUUCAAGUCGUGCACGGAUGUUAGUUAGAAACUGGUUUAAAAGAUACAGUCACUCGUGAACAACAGGCAAUAUAUUUGUAAGGGAGAAUGGAACGUUAUCGUUUAUUAACCAACAGUUAUUCCCACAAAUAAAAGAAAUGUUGACGACACAUCGUGGAUAGAAAUGAGAAAAAUUUGGUAAUGUUUGUACUUACGGAAAUGGAAUGAUUACUCUUGCUGCAAACAAAAGUACGCUGCGAAAUGUUAUUACAGUUUUAAUAAUUUUGUUAUCCGGCGCGUGAGCUUUUCUAAGCUACCGAGAUUCAAAUAUUUCCACCGGUUACGAAAUUGUUCACGUAUCAAACAUUUCUUACUAGUUUUUAAGUUAAUAAAAUUAAUGCAGCAUACCGUUGUAUUUUUCAAA